rnacentral:rRNA from 1 species
UACGUAGGGUGCAAGCGUUGUCCGGAAUUAUUGGGCGUAAAGAGCUCGUAGGCGGUCUGUCGCGUCGGCUGUGAAAACUCGGGGCUCAACCCCGAGCCUGCAGUCGAUACGGGCAGACUAGAGUGCGGUAGGGGAGACUGGAAUUCCUGGUGUAGCGGUGAAAUGCGCAGAUAUCAGGAGGAACACCGGUGGCGAAGGCGGGUCUCUGGGCCGAUAUCGACGCUGAGGAGCGAAAGCGUGGGGAGCGAACAGG